AUUGAACGCUGGCGGCAUGCCUUACACAUGCAAGUCGAACGGCAGCACGGGCUUCGGUCUGGUGGCGAGUGGCGAACGGGUGAGUAAUGUAUCGGAACGUACCUUUCAGUGGGGGAUAACGUAGCGAAAGUUACGCUAAUACCGCAUAUUCUGUGAGCAGGAAAGCAGGGGAUCGCAAGACCUUGCGCUGAUUGAGCGGCCGAUGUCAGAUUAGCUAGUUGGUGAGGUAAAGGCUCACCAAGGCGACGAUCUGUAGCGGGUCUGAGAGGAUGAUCCGCCACACUGGGACUGAGACACGGCCCAGACUCCUACGGGAGGCAGCAGUGGGGAAUUUUGGACAAUGGGGGCAACCCUGAUCCAGCCAUGCCGCGUGAGUGAAGAAGGCCUUCGGGUUGUAAAGCUCUUUCGGCCGGGAAGAAAUCGCAUGGGUUAAUACCCUGUGUGGAUGACGGUACCGGAAUAAGAAGCACCGGCUAACUACGUGCCAGCCGCCGCAGUAAUAC
rnacentral:rRNA from 1 species